AAUCUCAAUGCUCAUGAUGUUCCUCCUGCUGCGCGCGUUUUUCCUGGUUCUCCAGGCGCCACUGCAACAUACUCUUUAAAAACAGGGUGAUAAUCGCCAUCAGCGUCAACAGCGCCGCGGCGGUAAAGGAGCCAACGGUGUUGUAGUCCUGCUCCAGCAAUUCAAUCUGUAAUGGCAGCGAAAGUGUUUCGCCGCGAAUCGAGCCAGAAACCACCGACACCGCGCCAAACUCGCCAAUCGCGCGGGCGUUGGUCAGCACCACGCCGUAAAGCAGCGCCCAGCGGAUNUNCGGSAGCCGUGAGACAGGUGCUGCAUGGCUGUCGUCAGCUCGUGUUGUGAAAUGUUGGGUUAAGUCCCGCAACGAGCGCAACCCUUAUCCUUUGUUGCCAGCGGUCCGGCCGGGAACUCAAAGGAGACUGCCAGUGAUAAACUGGAGGAAGGUGGGGAUGACGUCAAGUCAUCAUGGCCCUUACGACCAGGGCUACACACGUGCUACAAUGGCGCAUACAAAGAGAAGCGACCUCGCGAGAGCAAGCGAACCUCAUAAAGUGCGUCGUAGUCCGGAUUGGAGUCUGCAACUCGACUCCAUGAAGUCGGAAUCGCUAGUAAUCGUGGAUCAGAAUGCCACGGUGAAUACGUUCCCGGGCCUUGUACACACCGCCCGUCACACCAUGGGAGUGGGUUGCAAAAGAAGUAGGUAGCUUAACCUUCGGGAGGGCGCUUACCACUUUGUGAUUCAUGACUGGGGUGAAGUCGUAACAAGGUAACCGUAGGGGAACCUGCGGUUG
rnacentral:rRNA from 1 species